UCGUACGGGUGGAGUAUUUCACUACACAGCAGGUCUGCAGACCACAAACACUCAUUAUUUUGUCUUUUCCUAAAAUUUACGAGUGUACGACUUUGACGUGCAAAAGUUUACCGGCACUACGGUACCAUGUAUUCAAUCGAUGCGCCUUUACUUGAAGCUACAUUUACAUCGCAAUAUAACAGGGGUCACCAAUUAAUAUUUUUGAAGGGCCACAUUAGGAACCUGAAAAUUUUUCGUGGGCCUUCAAAAUUCAAAGUAUAUGUAUAUUCACAUUAUUUUAAACCGAUAAUAUUCAACAAAAAUAAUAAUUUACAAUAAUAAUACAUUUAAUGUUGUAAUAUUGAAUAUAAUAUUAUGAUAGGUAUACGAUUGCAGGUUUCAUUUAGCUGUUCUAGUCUAACACAAAGUUAUACAGAUCUAUUUCGACACGCGUAACGGAUAUCAUUUCAUGUGUAGGUCUGAAUUUUUUUGUCUACAGUGACCAGAUCGGGUGUCACGAUAAUUCAAAAUGUACAAUAAUACGUGUUUAAAACGGCUACGCGUGAAGUCAUAUAAUAAUUAUGAAAAUCAGUAAAAAUGGUUUUGCGGACGAAUGUGUAAUAGCUACAGUGCAGGCAAAUUCCGCUUAGAUCGAACCAACGGUGACGAUUUAAUAUGAACUAAAAUUAUAUUAUAUAUUUAUAUAUUAUGCAGAAUUCACGCAUAUUAUAUGAGCCCCCGUGUGUAAAGGAAAGCAUUUUAUCUUAUGUACCUAUACAAAAUAUAUAUGUCAAUAAAACGCCGUUCCACUAUUUAUGUGAAUACUAUUUUUUUUUCAUUUUUAGUCAUUGUUUCCGUAAACUAUAUAAUUGUUUGUGUUGUGUUAAAACUUUUUUCUCAGAAAAAAUAUUAAAUUUUGUUUGAAAAUAUUAAUAUUAAUACGGUCAACAGUAAUCUAUUUAUCCAUAUAGGUACACAAUCAACGCAUAGAACAUUAAAACAUUCAUAUUACAACGUAUAAAGAUAUUUUUAUUUUUUUAAUUAACAACACAGGAAACGAUUAAUUUUGUAUUCAAUUUUGUGGAUUUAUGCGUUAUAGAAAUUCACUGUCGGUGUCAAGUAUUCAAGUUGAACUUACAAAUUAAUCAUAAAGAAUGUUGAAGACGUUCGGCAGUAUCCGGUCAAGGAUUCGGUUCAGUUGAUCGUACCGGCCGAGAACUCGGUCCUUUGACAUUAUCCAAUUAUUUGACGGUUUUUCGGCGAACAGUAUCCGUGAACAAUAUGCAUAGUAUCAUUCUCGAAAACUUCGAGGAGUCUUUCACAGUUAUCUUUGCGCCGAAUAGAAUCUAUGAAACGACCAGAAUCCCCAAGCAAUACGGAAUACUCCAAUUUGCGGCACUUGUAACUGGCUGUUGACGCGAUUAUGAUAUAAGCACGACGACUUCAAUUUGGAACAAUUCUAAAUACUUGGCGAACGGCUCGAGAGCAAUAAUAUAAAAGUGACAGAAUAAACUUGUGUACGACUCAACUAACUCUGUGUAAAAUUUAAAAUUAAUUAUAAAACUACGAUUUUUAACAUA